GAAAGGUCAGUGGGCUAGGCCCAACUCGGGUCCAACCGGGUUAGGCCCAUGACCCAUGUUAUAUAAGUGAUAUUUCAGCACUUCCCUUCUCAUUUUCAGAACUGGAACAACCAGAAAAUUCUGGAGAUAGAGAGAAAAAAAAAGCCUUGGAGAAGAAAAAUCAAUUUUGACCAAAAUCCGAGCCCCGAAUCCCUAAGCCCAUGAAGGGAAAAGUGUUGUACGCUGCGUUGUCUUCAAUUUGAGUUAAAAGUCAACCAAGGAGGAGGGUGAUAACGUGGUGGCUGAAUUCUUAAGAUUUUGGAGGAAACGGGAUUUGAGUUUGGACAAGCGUAAAAAGCAAAUAAGGUACACCCAGAUGAUGUGAAGUUACUAUAUAAAAUGUUCCAGCAGAGUUGGCAAGCUCCAUUUGUUCUUGGGGUGCCACCGAGUCAGAGUUUGUAUGUGUGCUUCUUAUGGAUUGGUAUUAGAGACUUUGCAGACAGAGUCGUGGGUAUAGUAUGUCAGUUGCGUAUGCGGCUUCAUCAGCCGAUCAUCCUGUAUUAUGUGUUAA